rnacentral:rRNA from 1 species
CUACGUGCCAGCAGCCGCGGUAAUACGUAGGGCGCGAGCGUUGUCCGGAAUUAUUGGGCGUAAAGAGCUUGUAGGCGGUUUGUCGCGUCUGCUGUGAAAGGCCGGAGCUUAACUCCGUGUAUUGCAGUGGGUACGGGCAGACUAGAGUGCAGUAGGGGAGACUGGAAUUCCUGGUGUAGCGGUGGAAUGCGCAGAUAUCAGGAGGAACACCGAUGGCGAAGGCAGGUCUCUGGGCUGUAACUGACGCUGAGAAGCGAAAGCAUGGGGAGCGAACAGGAUUAGAUACCCUGGUAGUCCAUGCCGUAAACGUUGGGCACUAGGUGUGGGGGACAUUCCACGUUUUCCGCGCCGUAGCUAACGCAUUAAGUGCCCCGCCUGGGGAGUACGGCCGCAAGGYUAAAACUCAAAGAAAUUGACGGGGGCCCGCACAAGCGGCGGAGCAUGCGGAUUAAUUCGAUGCAACGCGAAGAACCUUACCAAGGCUUGACAU